rnacentral:rRNA from 1 species
AAAAAGAACCUGAAACCGUGUACGUACAAGCAGUGGGAGCACCUUCGGGUGUGACUGCGUACCUUUUGUAUAAUGGGUCAGCGACUUAUAUUCUGUAGCAAGGUUAACCGUAUAGGGGAGCCGCAGGGAAACCGAGUCUUAACUGGGCGUUAAGUUGCAGGGUAUAGACCCGAAACCCGGUGAUCUAGCCAUGGGCAGGUUGAAGGUUGGGUAACACUAACUGGAGGACCGAACCGACUAAUGUUGAAAAAUUAGCGGAUGACUUGUGGCUGGGGGUGAAAGGCCAAUCAAACCGGGAGAUAGCUGGUUCUCCCCGAAAGCUAUUUAGGUAGCGCCUCGUGAACUCAUCUUCGGGGGUAGAGCACUGUUUCGGCUAGGGGGUCAUCCCGACUUACCAACCCGAUGCAAACUACGAAUACCGAAGAAUGUUAUCACGGGAGACACACGGCGGGUGCUAACGUCCGUCGUGAAGAGGGAAACAACCCAGACCGCCAGCUAAGGUCCCAAAGUCAUGGUUAAGUGGGAAACGAUGUGGGAAGGCACAGACAGCCAGGAUGUUGGCUUAGAAGCAGCCAUCAUUUAAAGAAAGCGUAAUAGCUCACUGGUCGAGUCGGCCUGCGCGGAAGAUGUAACGGGGCUAAACCAUGCACCGAAGCUGCGGCAGCGACACUAUGUGUUGUUGGGUAGGGGAGCGUUCUGUAAGCCUGCGAAGGUGACCUGUGAGGGUUGCUGGAGGUAUCAGAAGUGCGAAUGCUGACAUAAGUAACGAUAAAGCGGGUGAAAAGCCCGCUCGCCGGAAGACCAAGGGUUCCUGUCCAACGUUAAUCGGGGCAGGGUGAGUCGACCCCUAAGGCGAGGCCGAAAGGCGUAGUCGAUGGGAAACAGGUUAAUAUUCCUGUACUUGGUGUUACUGCGAAGGGGGGACGGAGAAGGCUAUGUUAGCCGGGCGACGGUUGUCCCGGUUUAAGCAUGUAGGCUGGUUAUCCAGGCAAAUCCGGAUAAUCAAGGCUGAGGUGUGAUGACGAGGCACUACGGUGCUGAAGUAACAAAUGCCCUGCUUCCAGGAAAAGCCUCUAAGCAUCAGGUAACAUCAAAUCGUACCCCAAACCGACACAGGUGGUCAGGUAGAGAAUACCAAGGCGCUUGAGAGAACUCGGGUGAAGGAACUAGGCAAAAUGGUGCCGUAACUUCGGGAGAAGGCACGCUGGUGUGUAGGUGAAGUCCCUGCGGAUGGAGCUGAGACCAGUCGAAGAUACCAGCUGGCUGCAACUGUUUAUUAAAAACACAGCACUGUGCAAACACGAAAGUGGACGUAUACGGUGUGACGCCUGCCCGGUGCCGGAAGGUUAAUUGAUGGGGUUAUCCGUAAGGAGAAGCUCUUGAUCGAAGCCCCGGUAAACGGCGGCCGUAACUAUAACGGUCCUAAGGUAGCGAAAUUCCUUGUCGGGUAAGUUCCGACCUGCACGAAUGGCGUAAUGAUGGCCAGGCUGUCUCCACCCGAGACUCAGUGAAAUUGAACUCGCUGUGAAGAUGCAGUGUACCCGCGGCAAGACGGAAAGACCCCGUGAACCUUUACUAUAGCUUGACACUGAACAUUGAGCCUUGAUGUGUAGGAUAGGUGGGAGGCUUUGAAGCGUGGACGCCAGUCUGCGUGGAGCCAACCUUGAAAUACCACCCUUUAAUGUUUGAUGUUCUAACGUUGGCCCCUGACCGGGGUUGCGGACAGUGUCUGGUGGGUAGUUUGACUGGGGCGGUCUCCUCCCAAAGCGUAACGGAGGAGCACGAAGGUUAGCUAAUCCUGGUCGGACAUCAGGAGGUUAGUGCAAUGGCAUAAGCUAGCUUGACUGCGAGCGUGACGGCGCGAGCAGGUGCGAAAGCAGGUCAUAGUGAUCCGGUGGUUCUGAAUGGAAGGGCCAUCGCUCAACGGAUAAAAGGUACUCCGGGGAUAACAGGCUGAUACCGCCCAAGAGUUCAUAUCGACGGCGGUGUUUGGCACCUCGAUGUCGGCUCAUCACAUCCUGGGGCUGAAGUAGGUCCCAAGGGUAUGGCUGUUCGCCAUUUAAAGUGGUACGCGAGCUGGGUUUAGAACGUCGUGAGACAGUUCGGUCCCUAUCUGCCGUGGGCGCUGGAGAAUUGAGGGGGGCUGCUCCUAGUACGAGAGGACCGGAGUGGACGCAUCACUGGUGUUCGGGUUGUCAUGCCAAUGGCACUGCCCGGUAGCUAAAUGCGGAAGAGAUAAGUGCUGAAAGCAUCUAAGCACGAAACUUGCCCCGAGAUGAGUUCUCCCUGAGACUUUAAGUCUCCUGAAGGAACGUUAAAGACGAUGACGUUGAUAGGCCGGGUGUGUAAGCGCAGCGAUGCGUUGAGCUAACCGGUACUAAUGAACCGUGAGGCUUAACCUUACAACGCCGAAG